ensembl:lncRNA
AUGGCUUACAGGCUGGUAUCCAGAUAGUUGAACAAUGCCUGUCUAACAACAAUGUCCAAUAAUCCAAUAGUUGUUCAGUCUGUGAGGCUGGAUAUCUUAGCUGGUCUUCAGUAUGUGCCAGAAUCCCAAAGAAGUAGGCUCUAGUGGAAUGGAUUUGCUAGUGAGAGUGAGAGCAAGCAGGCAGAGAACAAGCUUCCUUCUUCCAUGUCCUUAUAUAGGCUGCCACCAGAAGGUGUGGCCCAGAUUAAAGGUGCAUCUCCCCACCUCAAAAGAUCGGGAUUAAAAGUGGGUCUUCCCACUCCAAAUGAUUUAAUUAAGGGGAAAAAACAAAAACAAAAACAAAACUCCCUCACAGGUGUGCCCAGCUGUUUGGGUUUUAGUUAAUUCAGAGUAUAGUCAAGUUGACACCAUGAACAGCCACCAACUACCAGGGUUUCUCAUGGGUGAGCCAGGUGUGUCUGAAUCUGCUCCUAUUAAAAUGCAGAUUCCUGGCCUGUGCUCCACACUACUUCUCCGUGAUCUCAUUAAGUAGUACAGGCUGGUCUCAAACUUAAAAUCCUCCUGCCUCCGCCUCCUGAGUGCAUACUACAUAGCUCCUUGGGUCCUCCUGAAGCUUGGCAGUGUGAGAGCUGGGCCUGUAGGGAUGGUUAUCCCAAGCAAGCUUUUCUGAAGAACAUGGGGCCUUCUGUUUGGAGGAUCCGAGCUCGCCAGCCUUGUAUCUCUGACUGAAAACUCUCCCACAAACUUUGCCAGGAUCCCAGGGCUCAUUGCUAGAAAGGGGCGUGGCCUUUGGGACUAGUCACUGUGAGUCAUUUAACCAUGGGAACCACCAAGGGAGAGAGGAAGCAGCCAGCUCCCCCCAGAAGCCUCCAUGGUGCAGGAUUAACUUGGAGCCCAGUCCCCAGGUGGCUUCCCACACCUUUCUUGGGCUGAACAUGAGGCAAACGACCUUGUCCAAGUUCUACUGGGAAGUGGGACACUCAGCACAUCGGUCUUCAUCCCCACCAUGGACAACCUGGCCUCCUGUCCACAGGGACGUUUUGCACUGAUGAAUGAAUGUGGUUCCGUUCCCAAUGACAACAGCUUCUGCCAAUGCUGCUCUGAACCGCUCAUGUUCCAUUUACCAUGUCACGGCCAAAUUGUGUGCAGCCACAACCAUGGUUGCUUUAUAAAGAGAAAGUUGUGGAUGUAACGGUGCAGGUCGUUCCUUCUGAGGAGGCACUGACCUUGUUCACACAUGUGUGACCAUUACCUAAAAGAUGGCCAUACUGGCCGCCGUGGCCUUGUUGGGUUCCAACCCACCCAAAUCUGGCCCCCAGAACUUCCAACACAUGCCCCAGCUCUGGCGGGCAAUGCAUAAAGUGGCUAUCCAGGUCAUCAGCUUUUGAACCCAAACCCAACAGAUGACUCCAGUAGAGUUUCAGCCACAGGGACAAAGGUGACAAAGGCCACCAUGCCUGGAGGCAUCAGUACCUGCCUCCCGAUGAGCUUCCUACACAAGAAGCAGACUCCUUAGAGAGCACUGUUCAACUUUCAUGUAGGAUUGCCAGCAAAGACGGUGGCCAGAUCCAGAGCCCAAGACUGCUUAAUUAAUUAAUUAAUUAAUUAAUUAAUUAAUUACUGUGUGGUCUUGAGCAGACUACUGUUGUCCUUCACCUGUCAGAAGUCCACCAGGUGACUUCUUGAGGACUCCGAGAGAACGUGGGAUUCCCAGCACCCAAGUCUGUGGCCUGGAGAACCUUGUCCCUGGAUACCUCUGGAUCCUUUUUGAUAAGGAGUAAGGAAAGCAUCGGACCUGAAAUGCAUUCACACACCCUGUGUCAAUGUGCUCCCAGCAAGCACUUUAGUGGAGGAGAGAGUGCCCGGUAGGGGAUGGGAGUUUGGGGCUCCUGUCCCUCAGCGUGAGCUCUGGGAUCCAUACCACAUCUCCUGUGUGAGACUUGAAUCAUAUUACUCUUCCCUGAGUAAUAUUCCCCGAGUACACAUUUCCUAAUUGGAGGAAGAGUUGAGACUUUCACUGGAAAUGGGUCAAUAGGUAUAGGCGCUGCCUUGUAAGGGGGUGGAGUGAGGAGUUCCUCUAUACCUGAGGAAUGGUCUUUCCUGGGAUGGGGAGGAAUCUCUGGACUUCAGCACUGAGGAGCCAAUCGACAGGCAGUGGCCUUUCUAGAUGGGUGAAAGGAAAUCCCCUUGGCCAUCCAUAGUCUCCACAAGGCUAGAGAAGACUCUCCCCAUGUUUGGUGGAGUUCCAGUCUCCAGGCUGGAUGUCUCAGCUAGUCUUCAGUAGAAGCUGGAAUCCCAAUGAAAGAGACUGUAAUGCCAGUAAAGAAAUGGACUUGCUAGCAAGGCGAGAGCAAGCAGGCAGAGAACAGAAGCUUCCUUCCUCCAUGUGAAGGCUCUGUGAGUUAGACUGAGGAAAGAGAGACUAGCAAGAGAAAGCAUGCACGAGAGGAUGGGCACCUCACCCUACACUUGGGAGCACUCAGGCGCCGCCCGCGCUGCAUUCUCCAGCCCCUGGCCGAACCCUGGCCCUGCCCUGCUCAGUCCCCGCCACGCUGCCCUCAGUCAACUGCUCCUCCCGCCUGCUCCAGAGAGAACACCCAGCACCGGCACAGGCGGGGAAGACAGAGGGGCAGGGGGCAUGCAGAAGCAUUCCGAGCGGGUCUUUCAGGACACAACACAAACAGCAGAAAGGACAGCCUCUGGACAGUGCAAGCCUGAUUUAGACAACUGCCAAGCAGCAACAGGAGAGAAUGGAGGACUGCAGACUGGCAGCAGUAGCAGCAGCAGCCAGCUUUGGAGACAAACUCAUUGUGCCGCUGAUACAGGAAAGCCUUGAACAAAGUUUUCUCAAGAUUGAAGUCUGCAUAAGCACUGAGGUAUGGCGGAAAGGGUUCAGAACAAUGUGUCAGGGCCCGAGGCUCACUGCAGAUCUCCGUUGAGGUGGGGGGACAUGAGUCACAAGAUGUCUGCCCCUCAGCUUCUGUCCUAAAAGAAUGAUGAGUUAGCCCAGCUGAAACCUCCAGAGCUUACAACACCUACAGUAAGCUUUGCACGGUUAGUAGCAUCUUGAAG